GGGACACGUGGUAUCCUGUCUGAAUAUGGGGGGACCAUCCUCCAAGGCUAAAUACUCCUGACUGACCGAUAGUGAACCAGUACCGUGAGGGAAAGGCGAAAAGAACCCCGGCGAGGGGAGUGAAAAAGAACCUGAAACCGUGUACGUACAAGCAGUGGGAGCACGCUUAGGCGUGUGACUGCGUACCUUUUGUAUAAUGGGUCAGCGACUUAUAUUCUGUAGCAAGGUUAACCGAAUAGGGGAGCCGAAGGGAAACCGAGUCUUAACUGGGCGUUAAGUUGCAGGGUAUAGACCCGAAACCCGGUGAUCUAGCCAUGGGCAGGUUGAAGGUUGGGUAACACUAACUGGAGGACCGAACCGACUAAUGUUGAAAAAUUAGCGGAUGACUUGUGGCUGGGGGUGAAAGGCCAAUCAAACCGGGAGAUAGCUGGUUCUCCCCGAAAGCUAUUUAGGUAGCGCCUCGUGAAUUCAUCUCCGGGGGUAGAGCACUGUUUCGGCAAGGGGGUCAUCCCGACUUACCAACCCGAUGCAAACUGCGAAUACCGGAGAAUGUUAUCACGGGAGACACACGGCGGGUGCUAACGUCCGUCGUGAAGAGGGAAACAACCCAGACCGCCAGCUAAGGUCCCAAAGUCAUGGUUAAGUGGGAAACGAUGUGGGAAGGCCCAGACAGCCAGGAUGUUGGCUUAGAAGCAGCCAUCAUUUAAAGAAAGCGUAAUAGCUCACUGGUCGAGUCGGCCUGCGCGGAAGAUGUAACGGGGCUAAACCAUGCACCGAAGCUGCGGCAGCGACGCUUAUGCGUUGUUGGGUAGGGGAGCGUUCUGUAAGCCUGUGAAGGUGUACUGUGAGGUAUGCUGGAGGUAUCAGAAGUGCGAAUGCUGACAUAAGU
rnacentral:rRNA from 1 species